UGCCACAGCCAUAUUACCCUGUAGCCCAAGACUGGUUGCCCACUUAAGCUAAGCAGGGUUGAGCCUAGUCCUGGAUGACAGACCUCCUGGGAAAAACUAGGUUGCAGUUGAAG
ensembl:rRNA 5S_rRNA 5S ribosomal RNA